rnacentral:rRNA from 1 species
UACACAAAUUCCGACUUCAUGAGGCGCGAGUUGCAGCCCUCAAUCUGAACUGAGGCAAUGUUUGAAGGAUUGGCUCGAGGUUACCCUUUCGCGACCCGUUAUUAAUUGCCAUUGUAGGAUGUGUGUGGCCCCGGACGUAAGUGCCAUGCUGACUUGACGUCGUCCCCUCCUUCCUCCUUACUUGCUGUAAAGCGGUCCCGUGUGAAUAUGUAACACACGGCAGGGGUUGCGCUCGUUACCGCACUUAAGCGGACGUCUCACGACACGAGCUGACGACAGCCAUGCAGCAACUGUGUACUACCUUCGAAAGAGUCCGACUUUCAUCGGAUUUGCAAGUACAUGUCAAGCCCGGGUGAGGUCUUUCGCUUCGUAUCGAAUUAAACCACAUGCUCCACUGGUUGUGCGCUCCCCCGUCAAUUCCUUUGAGUUUUAACCUUGCGGCCGUACUACCCAGGCGGAAUACUUAACGCGUUAGCUUACGCCACCCCC